AUGCAAGUCGACGGUAACAGCGGAGCUUGCUUCCGGCUGACAAGUGGCGGACGGGUGAGUAACGCGUGGGAAUCUGCCUACUAGCGGGGGAUAGCCCGGAGAAAUCCGGAUUAAUACCGCAUACGCCCUACGGGGGAAAGCUGGGGAUCUUCGGACCUGGCACUAGUAGAUGAGCCCGCGUUGGAUUAGCUUGUUGGUGGGGUAAUGGCCUACCAAGGCGACGAUCCAUAGCUGUUCUGAGAGGAAGAUCAGCCACACUGGGACUGAGACACGGCCCAGACUCCUACGGGAGGCAGCAGUGGGGAAUAUUGCACAAUGGGCGCAAGCCUGAUGCAGCAAUACCGCGUGUGUGAAGAAGGCCCGAGGGUUGUAAAGCACUUUCAAUCGUGAAGAAAAGCUCAGGGUUAAUAACCCUGGGUCUUGACAUUAUCGAUACAAGAAGCACCGGCUAACUCCGUGCCAGCAGCCGCGGUAAUACG
rnacentral:rRNA from 1 species